UACGUAGGGUGCAAGCGUUAAUCGGAAUUACUGGGCGUAAAGCGUGCGCAGGCGGUUAUGUAAGACAGUUGUGAAAUCCCCGGGCUCAACCUGGGAACUGCAUCUGUGACUGCAUAGCUAGAGUACGGUAGAGGGGGACGGAAUUCCGCGUGUAGCAGUGAAAUGCGUAGAUAUUGGGAGGAACACCGGUGGCGAAGGCGGCUACCUGGACCGGUUCUGACGCUGAUGCGCGAAAGCGUGGGGAGCAAACAGG
rnacentral:rRNA from 1 species